rnacentral:rRNA from 1 species
UGCCAGCCGCCGGGGUAAUACGAAGGGUGCUAGCGUUAUUCGGAAUUAUUGGGCGUAAAGGGCGCGCAGGCGGUCUUGUCCGUCAGGUGUGAAAGCUCGGGGCUCAACCCCGGAACUGCCCUUGAUACUGGUAGUCUAGAGUUCGAGAGAGGUGAGUGGAAUUCCGAGUGUAGAGGUGAAAUUCGUAGAUAUUCGGAGGAACACCAGUGGCGAAGGCAGCUUUCUGGACAGAUACUGACGCUGAGGCGCGAAGGCGUGGGUAGCGAACGGGAUUAGAUA